rnacentral:rRNA from 1 species
GACGAACGCUGGCGGCGUGCUUAACACAUGCAAGUCGAACGGAAAGGCCCUGCUUUUUUGGGGUGCUCGAGGGGCGAACGGGUGAGUAACACGUGAGUAACCUGCCCUUGACUUUGGGAUAACUUCAGGAAACUGGGGCUAAUACCGGAUAGGAGCUCCUGCUGCAUGGUGGGGGUUGGAAAGUUUAGGCGGUUGGGGAUGGACUCGCGGCUUAUCAGCUUGUUGGUGGGGUAGUGGUUUACCAAGGCUUUGAAGGGUAGCCGGCCUGAGAGGGUGACCGGCGACCUUGGGACUGAGAGACGGACCAGACUGCUAUGGGAGGCAGCAGUGGGGAAUAUUGUACAAUGGGAGGAAGCCUGAUGCAGCAACGUUGCGUGUGUGAUGACGGCUUUUGGGUUGUAAAACGCUUUCGCCUGUGACGACGCGUGAGUGACGGUAAUGGGUAAAGAAGCACCGGCUAACUACGUG